AACGAACGCUAGCGGGAUGCCUCAAACAUGCAAGUCGUACGCGAAAGUACUCUUCGGAGUGCGAGUAGAGUGGCGCACGGGUGCGUAACACGUAACUAACGUACCCCUUCGCUGGGGACAACUCCGGGAAACCGGAGCUAAUACCGAAUGAUCUGAUAAGGUCUGCGGACUUUAUCGGUAAAGCCUUAGGGCGCGAAGGGAUCGGGUUGCGGCCCAUUAGUUUGAUGGUGGGGUAAAGGCCUACCAUGACUACGAUGGGUAGCUGGUCUGAGAGGAUGAUCAGCCACACUGGAACUGGAACACGGUCCAGACUCCCACGGGAGGCAGCAGUUGGGAAUCUUGCACAAUGGGCGAAAGCCUGAUGCAGCAAUCCCGCGUGAGUGAUGAAGGCUUUCGGGUCGUAAAGCUCUUUCAGCAGGGAAGAAUAACUGACGGUACCUGCAGAAGAAGCACCGGCUAACUACGUGCCAGCCGCCGCCGUAACAC
rnacentral:rRNA from 1 species